CACCUCCCUCCUCCAUUCCCCCCGCACCCCACCCCUUCCCCCCCGAGCUUGUUUCUCCAGCCACCGCACCGGAGCGGCACGGCGCUCACGCGACCAUCGACGGGCUAUGAAGGAGGAGGAGCCAUGGCAUGGAGGUGGUGGCCACUUGGUAGCCUUCGUCUGCGGCGUCAUACCACUACCGGGGUGCCGCGCAAGAGGUCAGGUCCGCCGCCACCGCGAGCCAGGGGACGCCCGUUGGUGAGCCUGCGUGCAGGAAGCCGACAGGGGGCACGGCGUCAACAAGCCGACAGGAGGCGGGGUCUUCCCGCUGGGAUGGAGGAGCAGGCGAUGGCCAGGAGGCCACCGGUGGGGGAGCAACAAGGCCCGAGCUCUAGGCUCCGCACACAUUGCGGGAUGGAGAAGAGGCUGGCGUGGGGCGCAAGGAGCAGCAGGGGAAGAACGGUGGGGCUUUCAUCUCCUCUCUCAUCCCGACUCCUGCAACCUCGCCACUGGUGCUCGCUCGGCCAGUGUAAGGAUAGCGGCCGGGAGUUUGGCCCUCGGCACGAAUUCGACCCACGAGUCUAGCUGACGAGCCCCAUGGUUGGUUUGUCCUCCUACCUCCAGAUCCCCUCUUACUCAUUCUCCUCCUCUCCCCAUAUUUUGCUCUGUUGUUUGUGUUCCUUCAAUUUGCAGGGAUUGUGGGAAGCAAAUGUACGUGGGGAGUUGUUCUACUCUCUCCCUCGAGGUGGGUUGAGUUGCGGUUUAGGUGGAGAUGUUGGUGCUGUUUGAGACGCCCACUAGGUUCGCCGUUUUCAAGGUUCUGAACAAGGGCAAGCUCGACAAGAUCAAGGAUCUAUGGAAGGAGUUCACCACAUCGGACUUGGCAAGAAAGUCAAUUAUCCAUUUCGUUCAGCAUGGUGGCCAAGAUGCGGCAACCCCAUGCUCUGUUCCGAUGGGACUCCUCUGCCCGAUGGUUGCCGCUGGUUGAGUUUGGUACGGUUUCCUGUUGUUGCUUGUGUCGAGCCAUGGGUCCGUCUCUCCUUCGCACUGAGUCUACUUCUCCUGUCGCUGGCGCUUCUUCUUCUCAUCCGUCCUGCUGCUUACCAAAGUGCUUCUGCUUGCUGCCUCGGGUUGUACGAUCUCUUCUGUCACUAUCAUUCGACUCAUCAAGGUUUCUUCUUUUCUUUCUACUACAUGUGUGCGUGUUUUACUUUCAGUAUCUUCUAUGUCAUGCUGUCUGCCUUGGUGAUCUUUUUAAAUAUCUGUAUUUUGUGCUGAUCAUUUAAAUGUUCCGGAUAUGGUCGGGCGUUGUGUGUUGGUCGUUCUCGUGCUACUUAUAUUUCGUGUAUGCGUGUGAACAGGGUGUGUAUGCUUGUUUCCGUUGUUAUACCUGUUUUGGAGGCUAUGGGUAGCUCGAUGCGCUUUGCCGUCCCUUUCAUAUCUGUGUGUAGUCGCAGAGGAUGGCUCUGUUCUUGCUGGUGUAGAACUCGAGCUCCCAGUGGGACAGAUCUGGUCCUAUGGAGAAGCUUGAUGAACAAGCCGAGGCGAGCUCUGGUGGUAAAGCUGAAACUUCAUCACCUACUGUUGAAGAAAAGGAUGAUGACAAUGACCAGGCUCAAGUGAUCAGAAACAAAAGAAUGAAGUGGCAAGCAUAGAAGAAAUGCAGAGCCAGUUUCCCUCGGAUACAGUGUAUUACACUGAGUCUGAGGAUACACAACAGUCUAUUGAGGCUACUCCACCAUCGGUGAAAAUCCCCAACAGAAUGAUGCUGGAUGUCCUUGUAGAAUCUUUGGGCCUGCCAUUGGCUGAGUAUCGAACCAAAGUAUGCGAGGAUGGUUUGAAGUUACAAAGAAUCCCAUUUUUGUUCAGAUAUGCACGCCCUUUUGUCAUCUAGAAUCCUUGCAUUUAGUUUUAUAUUAUUGAUUCAGGUUUAGCUAUUUAGAUCAAAACUGUAAUCUUGCUUGUAGAUUGGACAGAUUAUUUCUCACUUUGAGGACUCCGUUUUGUUCAUCGGAAAGUUUUUUCCCAGUGUGGUUCUUCCAAAAAUGAAUUGAAAUUACUAAGAUUCAUGCAAGUUACUUGGCAAAGAAAAUUUUUGUCUGCA